ACGGUCUUAUUACAUUGAAACACCGGUCCCUGUACGAUCACUGAAGUUAAACAACGUCGAUCCUUGUCAGUACCUAGAUGGGUGACUGCUUGGGAAUACCAGGUGCUGUAA